rnacentral:lncRNA from 1 species
UUUUAAAAGCUCCAAGCCAUUAACUUUAUUUUUACUGAAUUCAGCAUGGGGUGACAAAAAUGCAUUAUAUCAUUACAAUCAACUUUUACAUGCAGACAUUUAUCUUUGCAUUCCUUAAAUUCACUUUCUAUUUUAUAUCUGGUAAUUCAUAUUAAUUUAAAAUACAUGAUUUCUUACUAAAAAUCUCCAGUUCAUAAAACCAAGGGUUUAUAACUUCUCCUUAAAAUGUUAUAUUCCUUUAUUAUUGAAAAUUCAAUGGUUUAAAUUGCUAGGCUUUUUUAAAUGUUUAAAGGAUUAAGUUUAUUUACCAGGAGCAGACAAACAAAACAUAAUAUAAAAAUAGCUUUCCAGAAGCUAUUCCCAUUCUUUUCUUCCCUUUCUCCUGAAAACUGGUGUUUUAUCUUUACAAGUUCUCUGUCAUUCCAUCGGAAAGCUGCUCUUCUUCCGGUUUCCUAAGAGAUGGUGAACAGUGGCAAAAAAUCCGCUUUACCUAAAUUCCAGAGCUCAUUUCAGAGAGCAAAUGAUGGGGUGGGAUGUUGGGGCAGAGUAAGAGAUACAGAUUCUGGUGAGACUGAGAGUCAUUCACAAAAGUUACAGGGCUGUGGUGAAGGGAGAACAAAAACAAACUGGGUUCUCACAAGUGGGCGACAAGUCAAAAUGACAGGAAUGGUGAGGUAGCAGGGCAGUGUGAUUAGGCCCACUGGUGCUAUGCCUUCUGAUAGUAGUUCUGAACAGAAACCAGACUAUAAUUAACAAUAACAUGUAGGUAAUUAAUCUUUGAAAGUUGAGGCAAAGAAGGAAGGAUGGCAUUAGACCUUGUCGCUGGUUUAUUCAGUUUCUUAGGCUGAUGUGUGAGACCAUCUUGGGUGAAAUCUUAACAAAAUCAUUCUUUGCUAAGAUGAUCAGCUCUCAUAGGGUUCUUUCUCUGCACUCUCCAAUGAUAGAGCCCACUGGUUCAUGCCUCCUGGAAAACAGUUAUUCUAAAACAGUAUAGGUAAAGCACUGAUGAGACGGCCUUGGAGAACAUGUUUCCAGGUAGCCUGAAACCCAGCAGACAAUGUAGCUGUUGCCCAAGAAACACAGAAAUCUACAUUGUAUGCCAGGUUCAUGCCCCAGACCUGGAUGUUGGGCCUGCAAGUUCUCCCCACAUAAGACUUCAACACAAUUCCCUGCUGCAUUCAAGAUUUCUUGUAUUUAUCCUCUUUACCACAGGACAAGACAACCACAAGUCAGAAGGCACUGUUGGGACUUAUCUGCUACAAGUGAAAUUUCCUUAAAGUGUCAUACCAACAAGUCGUCAUUAUUUAAUCACAUUAUUUUGAGAAUGCCAUCUAAAAGUCGAGAGAUGAAAAGAGACAGAUGGAUGGAUGGAUGGAUAGAUGGACAGAUGAGAGAGACAAGAUAAGAUAGAUGGGUAGGUAGAUAGACAGAUAAACAAAUAGGUAGAUAAUGUUGUGACCAAGUGAUUGAUUUAUAGAUAGAUAGAUAAACAGACGGGUGGGCAGGUAGGUAGAUACAUAGAUAGAUGGUUUUGUGACCAAAUGAUACCUUCCACAGGGAGAAGAGAGAGAGAAAAAAAGAAAAUCCAUGGAUAAAAUAUCCACAUUCCUCCCUCUUGUGGUUGAAAUCAAAUACAUCUCAUCAUUUAUAAAACCUUGAUGGUUCCCAUACUCCAGCUAAUGGUGGAAGACUUACCACCCAGAGCUUAACUCUGUAUGUGUAUAUGUCUGUGUAAAUCAAGGUAAACCUUUCAUUAUUAAAGACGUCCCAGUAAUCUUGCUCAGGACACUGUAACAGAAGCUAGAAGAUGCCAUCAGAGACCCAGUAGCCAGAUGUAGCUGCUGAUUACAAAAGACAGGAUCUACACUGGCUACUGAGCCAUUGAGGGUACCUACACUUUCCAGCAGCUAGA